rnacentral:rRNA from 1 species
GCCCUACGGGGCGCAGCAGUGGGGAAUAUUGCACAAUGGGGGAAACCCUGAUGCAGCGACGCCGCGUGAGUGAAGAAGUAUUUCGGUAUGUAAAGCUCUAUCAGCAGGGAAGAAAAAAGACGGUACCUGAAGAAAAAGCAUCGGCUAACUCCGUGCCAGCAGCCGCGGUAAUACGGAGGAUGCGAGCGUUAUCCGGAUUUAUUGGGUUUAAAGGGUGCGCAGGCGGGAGAUCAAGUCAGCGGUAAAAUGUCGGGGCUCAACCCCGGCCGGCCGUUGAAACUGGUUUUCUAGAGUUGGAGAGAAGG